rnacentral:rRNA from 1 species
UACGUAGGGGGCGAGCGUUGUCCGGAAUUAUUGGGCGUAAAGAGCGUGUAGGCGGCUUGGCAAGUCCUGUGUGAAAGCCCUGGGCUCAACCCAGGAAGUGCGCAGGAUACUGCCGAGCUGGAGUAGCGGAGAGGAUGGCGGAAUACCCGGUGUAGAGGUGAAAUUCGUAGAUAUCGGGUGGAACACCUGUGGCGAAGGCGGCCAUCUGGACGUUCACUGACGCUGAGACGCGAAAGCGUGGGUAGCAAACAGG